CUCUGACAGUUUCUAUCUAUUUUCCCCGCCCUCCCUCCCUUUCCCCUCUCUCAUACUGUUUUAAUCUGUUUCCCUCCCCUUCUAAACACUCUAUACACAUACUCUCAUACCUCCUAUCUCUUUUUCCAGUCAUAUAACAUUUACACCGAUAUAUAUACACACAUAAAUACACAUACUCACACACACGCACACGUGUAUACACUCAUACAGCUAGAGCGAUAUAGUGUGCACACGUACUAUAGACAACUUAACGUCGACCAAAAAAUAUUUAUUUAUAUAUUUCAUUCUGCAUUUUUAAAAAUAUUUUUUUAUUUUGCUUUCCACUCUUUACUGUUUCUUGCUUAUUGUAAAACACUGUUUGGGGUUUUUUCAUACUUACUACAUGCACUGUCCUGAGAGGUAUAUUACCUUCGUCAUGAUUGAAACUUUAACCGAAUAACAAUUCAAGAUUACCACUUGGAUUUUACAAUGUUACUUUAUUUAUACCGGAACAUUACAUAAAAUCAACAAAUGGUGUUUGACUUCAGCAGCUAAGUUUGGACAAAAACCCGUAACACAGUAAGCUGCAGUCAAAUCCAGGCAAAUCGAUGGGGUUUACAGAACUUGGCCGCCGAUGCAAGAAGAAAGAAUUACAUCCUGGCCCUCAGCAUCUUUACCACUAUCACCAACGCUACCAACGAACAACAGUAAUACCAACAACAACAACAACAACAACAAUAAAUAAUUAAUCAAAACUCAAAGAAAAGACAAAUGCAUUUUCUUUCCAAGACGCAACUUACCAUUGCAACUACAGAGGAUUGUACCAUUACUGCUAUUCAGGAAUAAUAAUAUAUUAUUAAAUAUAUAUAUAUAUAAUAUAUAUUGCAUUUAUAUAUAUUAUAUUUAUACAUGCAAUAUACUUUUGUGAUUGAGUUGAAACACUUGAAUUAGGAUCACCAUUGGAUACCAAAUUAUACAUCUACUAAAGAAACACCCCACUAGUUCCAUUUUUUUGGAAUCUGUUUGAGCCAAAUAUAAUUCUCCACUUUCCUUGUCUUUUUUUUUCAUCCAUAUUUGGUUUUUUAUUUAUUUGAUUGUUUGUUUACUUUUUGUAAUUAAACAAAAAAAUUGUUGCCACCAGUCCAGCCUAUCACUAUCCUGUACUAUCUAUAACUACUGUCCAAUGCAGUCUGAGCCAUAAUAUUACUAAAAAGAGGGUAGUGCUUUUCAAGUAAGAAUUUCAACCACCACCAUCACCACCACCACCACCACCACUACCGCCGCCAAGGUAUUGAGUUAACGGAGGAGAAAUGUCUGUAAAAUUACCUGUCGACGAUGCUUAGUCUACUAGUAAAGAGCCGGACACGACUGUCACCUAUGAAAUUACAACUUCACUUGGCUCUCAUUCUGUUCACUUUCACAUUUCUACACACAGUGACUAGUUACUCUCCAGGGGAUUAUCGCUAUAUUUCUUAUGAUGAUCUCUUAAAUAAUUACAAGUUCCACCAUAAAGAUCUUAUAGGCAAUGUACCAUUAACAAUUGACAAAAAGAACCACCAGUUGUUGCUUGGGGCUAGAAAUGGAAUAUUUCGGUUAUCUUUGGCAAAUCUCACACUCACCGAAUAUGCUGAAUGGAUGCCUUCAGAAGCAACAUUGGACACAUGUAUUCAGAAAGGACUUCCAAAAGAUGAGUGCCAUAACUUUGUACGUGUUUUGAUAAUCCAGCAUGAACAAGUGCUGACAUGUGGAACCAAUGCUUAUAGUCCUAUGUGCUGUUGGCGAAAUGUAAAUUCCAUCAAACAUGUUUCGCAAAGGAUAAAUGGGAAACAGAAGUGUCCCUAUAGUCCCCGGCACAAUUUUACUUCAAUUAUUAGUGAAGAUGGGAACUUUUACACUGGUUCAGUGGUGGACAUCCAGGCUCGAGAUUAUGCCAUAUCUCGUGUUCUGGGUCCCUUGCCAAUUCUCAGAACUCUCCGAAGUAAUUCCAAAUGGCUAAAUGAACCCAAUUUUGUAUCAUCAUAUGAAAUAGAGAGCCACAUAUAUUUCUUUUUCCGAGAAACUGCUGUUGAAUAUAUUAACUGUGGCAAAAAAGUCUAUUCUAGGGUAGCAAGAAUAUGUAAGACUGACAGAGGAGGAGAUAGCCUCCUUCUAGAAAACAACUGGACGACUUUUCUUAAGUCCCGGAUUAACUGUUCUCUUCCAGGAGAGUUUCCAUUUUAUUUCAAUGAAAUUCAGCAUACCUUCUAUUCCAAAGAAGAGAAUUUAAUAUAUGCUGUGUUUGGCACCGGAGACAAUAGCAUACCAGGUUCAGCUAUCUGUAUAUAUGAUAUACAUGCAUUCCAUCGGUCAUUCUCUGGUGCUUUCAAAUACCAGAUGAAUGCUAACACAGCAUGGAUGAAAAUGGAAAAUCCAAAAGCAGAUUCACAGUGUCCCAGUCCAGGAAGCAGCAGUAAGCGUUCCUUUAGUAACCAUAUCUCACAAGUACUCCUAGAUGCGGAGAAAUAUCAAAUGAUGAACGAUGCCGUUCAGCCAAUAACUAACCGUCCUCCUUUUGUGGGUGUGGGUGAGAGGUGGACACAUAUCAUAGCUGAUACAGUUUACACGCUGAAGGGAAAGUUCUCUGUUGUCUUCAUUGGCACCUUAGAUGGAUAUGUUAAAAAGAUGAUCCAUAUUCCUCGAGUGAAUCUCAGUUGUAUUUUAGAAGAAAUCAGAAUCACUCCAAAGGGACAAAACGAACCUGUAACCUCGAUUAUAAAAUCUAGAGAAGAGAAAGCACUCUAUGUUGUAACUAGCAGAACUUUAAUAAAGAUACCAUUUGAGAGGUGUCAUCGAUUAAAAACCAAGAGUAUGUGUCUUCAGGCCCGGGAUCCCUAUUGUGCAUGGAAUAAAAUAAACAAGACUUGUGCAACACCACCGGUCAACCAGUUAGAGACUCUCUUUUGGCUUCAGGAUAUCACAUCAUGUCCUGUUCUGGAGACACCAGUUGAUGGACAGUGGUCACCUUGGUCACAGUGGUUGCAAUGUCGAAUUGUAGGACCUGAUCGUCUCGGUGAUGACUGCUGGUGUCGCACUCGUACUUGUGACAACCCAGCUCCCCGACUGGGUGGCAGAGAUUGUGUUGGUGACACAGUUGAAGUGUCCAACUGUACCACACAUGGUGGAUGGACUCCAUGGUCUGCUUGGACAUCCUGUUCUCAGACGUGUAAUAGUGGUGUUAGAUCUCGCACACGUACCUGUGGGAAUCCGGCCCCACUGCAUGGAGGACGUGAUUGUGAGGGGUCCCCCAAGCAGGAGGAAUACUGUCCUGGAAAUCCACGUUGUCCUUAUAGCCCUAUCAAUGGCCAGUGGUCAAUGUGGUCCUCAUGGGCUGGAUGCUCAGAGCGAUGUUAUGGAGGAGUUCAAACAAGACGCCGUAACUGUGACAACCCACCGCCAAAACACAAGGGCUUACCUUGUAUUGGAAAUGAACAGGAAUGGCGUAUGUGCAAUAAACAUAACUGUGAUGCCAAAGUAAAAGUGGUACCAUGGAGCGACUGGGUGAAGACGAAUACAACAAGAGGUGGAUACUUUGAGCAGCGCUUCCGUUUUUCGUGCAGCGCACCAGUCCCGGAUCGUCACAUGAUCCGAGCAAAGCACAUGAAAAGCCAAGUGCGUUUCUGCUUAAACAAUGGAGUGUGUCACAACUCAGGUGAGCUUCGCAAUCCUGUCGACAUAUACAUGCCCGUAGAUCGAGUCCUUCGCAAGUACUGUAAGUUCAAAAGGAAACUAUUCCGUAAAUACUGCAACUGCCGGACACUUGGAGUCUUUCUAGUGUGUCAGAAAUGUUCAUAGUAGAAGUAGUAGUGGUACACCUAGCGGUAUAAGUGGAGGAAAUAUAAAUACAGACACAUAACAUGCAAACAACAACAAACAAACAAACAAAAAGAAAAUAAGUAACAAACAAAUAUAUAUUAAUGUGAUUGUGAAUAACUAAGAAAUUUUACAUGUAUACACCCACCCACAUACAUGCAUACACACCAUGCACACACAUGCAAGUCCUCCUAUACACUCACCAAGGCGUAUACAUUGCAUUACAUGUGUAAAGUGUAUGGCUUGGUUUGUUAUAUAAAUAUAAUUAUAUAUACCCAUGUAUAUAUUUCUAAGAUAUAAUAUGUCUAUAAGUAACAUAUAUAUAUAACAUAUUUAUAUAUGUAUAUGUACAUACACUUGUAUUAUCCAUAUAUUCAUAUGUGUGUGUGGAUAUUUUGUAUUAUCCAUAUAUUCAUAUGUGUGUGUGGAUAUUUUGAAUUGAAGGAAAGAGAGAUAUUGUACUGCAUGUAAUUUUUUGUGUUUGCAUUUUCUUCCCCACCAUAUACAAUUUUCCCCCUUGACCCACUGGCUCUCCAGUUUUAUUACAUACUUGUUUGUUCACCUUUCACCACCAACACCAACACCACCACCACCACCAUCGAUUUUUACUAUGGUUUUUAAUAUUUACUUCUCCUGUCAAUCCUUGAAACCACCUUGACCAUUUCCAUCAUCACUAUCACCACCACCACCAUGACCACCACUGUAUUUGUCUCAUUGCUACAACCACAACCACCAACACUGUCACCUCUUAUAAAUAUCAAAAUCAAAGUUAGCUACUUUGUGGGUCUUCCAUCACUGCUUUAACAAGCAUGGGAGACAACUCUGGACAUGUUUCUCUUUUGUUAUAGGCUCAUCAGCAAAGUGUAGCCAAUACUGUAUUUACGAAAACAAUGAAAACAAUAUUGUUUUAUUUUCUCACUGUAUAACUAUUUCUGGUUAACAUAUUUAGUGUUCUGUACAUUAGAUAUAUUAACACACUAUUUUAACUGCUGUUAUUUUUCAUAUGGAGGCAUACCUGAAUUAUUUAUUCUCUAGACAAUUAUAGAUGCCUUUGACAUGUAUCUCUACUCUUGCAACCCCAAUACCUAAUGUAGACAUGAUAAUUAAAUGAAAAAAAGAAUAAUGUAAAGGACAAAAAUAAAUCUAAGGAUGAUCAAAUUUGUUUGAAAAUGAAGAAAGUUGAAAAGGGGCAAACAGUUGCAUGAUGGGAAGAAGUAGUGAGUAAAUAAAGUAUAGAUGUAAACAGUAAAUUCUGGUUGAAUGUUUGGUAGAUAGAAUGAUAGUCACGCUGAUAGUUUUUUUUUUUUUUUUGUAAACUGCAUGAAGUGCAUAUAUAAUAAUUUAUUGUUGCAAUUAUACUUUCUAUUUUCAUUAUUAUUCUUGUCAUUAUUGCCAUCCAUUAUUUUCAUUAACACCACUAUCAUCAAUAUCAUUAUCAUUAUCUGGAUUGGCAGAAAUAGUUGAGCACCAGACAAAUUACUUUGCAUUGGGGUUCAUUUUCUUAUCUUGACAAGCUCAAUUUUUACCCUUCAUCCAUCUACAACCAAUGAAUUUAGUGCUGGUUAAAUACUGGAGUUAAUUUUAUUGGUUGUAUCUUCUUCUAAAAUUAUAAUCUUGUGUCCACAUUGAAAAUUAUUAUUAUUGAGAGAAGAAGCAACAUUAUUGUUCAUCCUUUUAAAGCUGAUAAAAUAAAAUACGAGCCACACAUUGGGAUCAAUCUAAUUACUAUAAUCUUCAUCUGAAUUUGUGGCUGAAUUUGUGCCCAUUAUAGAAAUUAAAGUACCUGAUAUUUGAUUUUAAGUGUUUUAAUCAUUAUAGUAAAUUACUGGGCAACCCUCUUUGCCUUGUUAAGUCUUGUUAAAAAGGCAUCCUCAUUACUUGUAUCAUUAUAAGUAUUUGUCAACAUUAUAAUGUGCUAUUACUGUUGUCAUCAUCAUUAUUAUCAUUAUUAAUGAUAAUUUCAUGCCAUCUAUUUCAUACUUUGAUAUUAUGUAUGUAUUGUAUUUUGGUAUGUUUAUCACCACCACAACCAGUACCACCAUCAUCAGCAUCAUUAUGAUGGUCCUCGUUUUCCUUGUUAGUCUACUUUUAGCAUGUUCUUAUAUUGUGUAUCUUUCUACAACAUAGAUUAUUUAUGUAUAUACUUACUGUUUGCUGACACAGACCAGUGUUCGUUUUCUACUGUUUCACUUUACAUUUAAAGUACCUGCUUGGUUUAAUUUUAUUUAACUUUCAGGAUCUAAUAAAAAAUCUGCAUUUAGCAUAUGGAUUAGUUUUUCCUUUAACUACAACGACAACGACACUAUUAAUAGCUGUUUCCGAUUUAGGUGCAAGGCCAGCAAUUUUGAGGCAGGAGGUAGUUAGUCGAUUAUAUAAGCCCCAGUUCUUGGCUGGCACUUCAUUUUAUCAUUCUCAAAAGGAUGAAAGACAAAGUUAACUCUGACAGGAUUUCAACUCAGAAUGUAAAGAACCAGAACAGAUAUCACUAACUUAAUAAUAAUAAUAAUAAUAAUAAUAAAAAUAAAAAUAAUAAUAAUAAUGAUGAUGAUAAUUCAUUAUUACUACAAGGGCAACAAAUGAGGAUACAUAAUAGGAUAGAGUACAUAAAGUGAAAGGGAUAGGAUUUACAUUGAAAUGAAAUGAAAUGAAAAAUUGACUGUAUGAAGGGUAUAAAAUCUGAUAAUGUCCCUGUGGAGAACCAUCACUUAGGGCCAUUCAAGGAAACCCAGAGAUCCAGGAUUACCUUGACUAUUAAGGGUAAGUGUGCUCUCCAAUCUGUACUCCCUGGCAUACAGAUGCAUGCUGAGUGUAGGUUGAGUACAGCUACAACCAUAAUAAUAAUAUUAAUAAUAUUAAUAAUAAUGGUAAUGAUAUUAAUAAUUAUUCCUAAUAUAGGUACAAAGCCAACAAUCUGGGGGAAAGGGUCAGUUGGUUAACUGACCUUGUGUUACUUCACUGACACCUUACUUUUAAGUAUUGGAGUUGAGUUAAUUGACUUACCCAGAAAUUUUCUUUCAUAAUAAUAAUAAUAAUAAUAAUAAUAAUGAUAAUGAUGAAGAUGAUGUAAAAUUAUUGUUGUGGUAAUUGCUGUGGUGUGCCGAUUGUAUGACUUAGUUCCGAUUUUCAUUUAGAACUAUUUUGUGUUGUUGGUGCUUUUUAGGGAAGCAUGAAAGUCAAAACUUAUCAUUUUAACCUUUCCCAUGAAUAUAUAAGGCUUGUGAAAUUUAUAUGUAAAAAAAACAAAAAAGAACAAAACAAAACAAACAAAUGAAACAAAACGAUUUACUUU